GAUGAAGAACGCAGCGAAAUGCGAUAAGUAAUGUGAAUUGCAGAAUUCAGUGAAUCAUCGAAUCUUUGAACGCAUCUUGCGCUCCUUGGUAUUCCUUGGAGCAUGCCUGUUUGAGUAUCAUGAGCAAAUCUCAAAGUCAAUUCCUUUUGUUGAUUCAAUUGGUUUUGCUUUGGACUUGGAAGCCUUGCAGAUUUCACAGUCUGCUCCUCUUAAAUGCAUUAGCUGGAUCUCAGUAAUUAUGCUUGGUUCCACUCGGCGUGAUAAGUAUCACUCGCUGAGGACACUGUUAAAAAGGUGGCCAGGAAAAUACUGAUUGAACCGCUUCUAACGGUCUAUUAAGUUAGACAAUUACCCUUAAGUUUGAUCUCAAAUCAGGUAGGACUACCCGCUGAACUUAAGCAUAUCAAUAAGCGGAGGA
rnacentral:misc_RNA from 1 species